CCUACGGGAGGCAGCAGUGAGGAAUAUUGGUCAAUGGACGCAAGUCUGAACCAGCCAUGCCGCGUGCAGGUAGACGGCUCUAUGAGUUUUAAACUGCUUUUGUACGAGGCUAUAUCCCGAUCCGUUUAUCGGGCUGAAAGUAUCGUACGAUUAAGGAUCGGCUAAUUCCGUGCCAGAAGCCGCGGUAUUACGGAGGUUUAAAGCGUUAUCCGGAUUUAUUGGGUUUACAGGGUGCGUAGGCGGUACGACAAGUUAGAGGUGAAAUCCCGGGGCUCAACUCCGGGACUGCCUGUGAAACUGUCGGGCUAGAGUUUAGUUGCGGUAGGCGGAAUGUAUGGUGUAGCGGUGAAAUGCAUAGAGAUCAUACAGAACACCGAUUGCGAAGGCAGCUUACCAAACUACGACUGACGUUGAGGCACGAAAGCGUGGGGAGCAAACAGGAUUAGAUACCCGGGUAGUC
rnacentral:rRNA from 1 species